rnacentral:rRNA from 1 species
GAUCAAGCUAGAGUAGGGCGCAUGGGGGAUGUCUUGGUAUCAGAAGAUUUUGAAGGGCGUUGAAGACUGCGAUAUGUCCGGGGGAGUUGUCAAACAAACUUUGAUCCCGGAAUUCCCGAACCGGUAUCGACUAAAUUCAUAGGUCGAUACAAGCAACACAGGGAACUGAAACAUCUAAGUACCUGUUGGAAAAGAAAGAAAAAUCGAUUCCGUAAGUAGCGGCGAGCGAAAGCGGAACAGCCCAAACCAGAAGGAUUUUCCUUUUGGGGUUGUAGGGUCUCUCGCAUGGGAGUCAAAAAGUUGUCGAAUAGUAGAAACGGUUGGAAAGCCGUACCACAGAGGGUGACAGUCCCGUACACGAAAUUUGUACAGCCUCCCGAGAGAUACCUGAGUAGGUCGGGUCACGUGAAACCCUGACUGAAUCCGCGGAGACCAUUCCGCAAGGCUAAAUACUCUCUGAUAACCGAUAGUGAACCAGUAGAGCGAUCGAAAGAUGAAAAGAACCCUUACAAAGGGAGUGUCUAUAGAAUCUGAAACCAUGUGCCUACAAGCGGUCGGAGCAAUGUGAUUUUAUAUCCGUGUGACGGCGUGCCUUUUGCAUAAUGAUCCGGCGAGUUGGCGUAAACAGCCCGGUUAAGGUCUUUCGGACCGAAGCCAUAGGGAAACCAAGUCUGAAUAGGGCGAAUUUGUUGUUUGUGCCAGACGCGAACCCCAGUGAUCUACCCAUGAGCAGGUUGAAGCGCGGGUUAAACCGCGUGGAGGACCGAACCCACUUGGGUUGAAAACCGAGGGGAUGACUUGUGGGGAGGAGUGAAAGUCUAAUCAAACUGGGAGAUAGCUCGUUCUCUUCGAAAUAGCUUUAGGGCUAGCCUUGAGUUUAACUAUCAGACGGGGGUAGAGAUACUGAAUUGGAUACCGGCGCUCCCAAGCGUACGGUUCCUAACCAAACUCCGAAUACCGUUUGAACUAUCUCAGGAGUCAGUCCGCGAGGGAUAAGCUUCGCGGACGAGAGGGAAACAACCCAGAUCGCCAGCUAAGGUCCCUAAAUAGACCUCAGUCACUAAGGAAGUUUGAAUGCCGAGACAGCCAGGAUGUUGGCUUAGAAGCAGCCAUCAUUUAAAAAGUGCGUAACAGCUUACUGGUCGAGCAUUUAAGCGCCGAUAAUGAACGGGAGUAAGGUCUAUACCGAAGCUGCGGACUUGACAAUUUAUUUGUCAAUUGGUAGAAGAGCGCUGUACAGAAGAUACAUGCCGUACCGAAAGGAGCGGUCCAGGUCUGUACAGGUGAUUAUGUCGGAAUGAGUAACGAUAAAACAGGUGAAAAUCCUGUUCGCCGAAAACCUAAGGUUUCCUGGGGAAGGUAAUUCCGCCCAGGGUCAGCCGGUACCUUAGUCCAGGCCGAAAGGCGUAGACGAUGGAGAAUAGGUCAACAUUCCUAUGCUAUCAUUGCGGACUGAUGGAGUGACGGCGUUUGGAAGGUGGGUCACCGAAUAGAAAUGGUGGUACCUUCGUAAGGUUUGCAAGGAAUAAAAGACUUGUAUCAAAACCGAACGCGGGUCUGAUGUCUUGUUGCGAAGGCCAUCUGAAAAACGUCCAAGAAAAACUUCUAAGGGUUGAAACAGUGAUAACCGUACUAAAACUGACACAGGUAGGUGGGUAGAGAAUACUAAGGCGCUCGGGAGAAUACUAGUUAAGGAACUCUGCAAAAUGAUCCCGUACGUUCGCAAUAAGGGAUACCUUCGAGGGUGUUAAAGCUUUUGAAGGUCACAGUAAAUCGGUAUCAGCAACUGUUUAUCAAAAACACAGGACCGUGCUAACACGUAAGUGGAUGUAUACGGUCUGACGCCUGCCCGGUGCCGGUAAGUUAAGGAAGGGGGUUAUCGCAAGAAAAGCUCUCGACCGAAGCUCCGGUAAACGGCGGCUCUAACCUUGAGAGUCCUAAGGUAGCGAAGUUCCUUGUCGGGUAAGUUCCGACCUGCAUGAAAGGCGUAAUGACUGAUACACUGUCUCAACUAGUAACCCGGUGAAAUUGUAGUCGUGGUGAAGAUGCCACGUACCCGCAGUAAGACGGAAAGACCCCGUGAACCUUUACUGUAUGCUGAUAUUGGGCUGUGGUCUCAUUUGUGUAGGAUAGGUGGGAGGCGUUGAAGUAGGCGCGCUAGCGUCGAUGGAGCCUACCUUGAAAUACCACCCUGAUGAUACUUUAGUUCUAACACUGAUUCCCGUGAAUCCGGGCGGUGGACAUUGUCAGUUGGGCAGUUUGACUGGGGCGGUCUCCUCCGAAAGAGUAACGGAGGAGUUCAAAGGUACCCUCAGCCUGUUUGGCAAUCAGGCGUUGAGCAUAAUGGUAGAAGGGUGCUUGACUGCGAGACUCAUAAGUCGAGCAGAUACGAAAGUAGGACAUAGUGAUCCGGUAGUCCCGAAUGGAAGGGCUAUCGCUCAUCAGAUAAAAGGUACUCCGGGGAUAACAGGCUUAUCGCUCCCGAGCGUCCAUAGCGGCGGAGCGGUUUGGCACCUCGAUGUCGGCUCAUCACAUCCUGGGGGUGGAGGAGCUCCCAAGGGUUUGGCUGUUCGCCAAUUAAAGUGGUACGUGAGCUGGGUUCAGACCGUCGUGAGACAGGUCGGUCCCUAUCUGCUGUGGGCGC